GAUGAACGCUGGCGGCGUGCCUAACACAUGCAAGUCGAGCGAACAGACGAUGAUCUUGCUCCUCUGACGUUAGCGGCGGACGGGUGUGUAACACGAGUAAAAUCUCCCUAACAGACUGGGAAAACUUCGGGAAUCCGGAUCUAAUACCGGAUGAUAUCUUGAACCGCAGGGGUCAAUAGUGAAAGUCGGUUGUUGUGGCUGGUAUCGAUGGAUCCCGGCCGGAUGAGCUAGUUGGUAAGGUAAAGGCUUACCACGGGGACGAUGCGUAGCCGACCUCACGGGGUGAUCGCUCACACUGGAACUGGGCCACGGUCCAGACUCCUACGGGAGGCAGCAGUAGGGAAUCUUCCGCAAUGGGCGAAAGCAUGACGGAGCAACGCCGCGUGAGUGAUGAAGGUCUUCGGAUCGUAAAACUCUGUUAUUAGUGAAGAACAAAUGUGUAAGUAACUAUGCACGUCUUGACGGUACCGGAUCAGAAAGCCACGGCUAACUACGUG
rnacentral:rRNA from 1 species